rnacentral:lncRNA from 12 species
CAGUCAUUCUUAUACUGGAAAUCUCUUCCAUCUCUGGAAUUUUCUCACUCAUUAUUUUAUCUCUUUUCCAUUAUCCUCUUCUUUCUGAGAAGAGAGUUUCUUCAGAAUGGCUUCAAACUUAUUACUUGAAUUCCCAGUAGUAUAAAUUCUGGUCUUUAUUGUUUCCAAGCUACAUUUAAUCCCAAGGGAAAUUUUAUUCCCUUCAAAAUAUUUCUUCUUUAUUUUUUUUGUUAAAGAUUUUAUUUAUUUAUUCAUGAGAGACAUAGAGGGAGAGAGGCAGAGACACAGGCAGAGGGAGAAGCAGGCUCCAUGCAGGGAGCCCCAUGUGGGACUCCCGGGACUCCAGGAUCAUGCCAUGAGCUAAAGACAGACACUCAACCAUUGAGCCACCCAGGUGUCCCUAUUUCUUCUUUAUUUAUCUCUGUCCAUCAUCAUGCUACCCUCCUGCUUUAUAUCUCAAUCUUUCAACAUAUCAUAUAAUUUUCCAUUUCUUCUUUCAUAGAGCAGUUUCAUGCAUUGUAUUGAGAAUACAAACACAACAGAUGCUUUAUAAAGUACACUUCUUUUUCAUAUUAGUACUCUUUCAAAGACUCUUCAGAGAAACAUAUCUAUCUUUAUGCUAUAUAACCUUGAAAAAAAUAAGUCUAAGAUACAUGACUGAAAUAUACAGUUGAUCCUUGAAUAACAUGUGGGUUAGGGACACCAACCCCUUAUGCAGUAAAAAAUCUACAUAUAACUUUGACUUGCCAAAAGCUUAACUACUAAUAGCCUAUUGUUACCUGGAAGGCUUACUGACAACAAACAGUUUAUUAACAUAUGUUUUGUCUGUAACAUUUAUUGUAUACUGUAUCUUGAAAUAACACCUAACUUUCUUUCUUUUCUUUUCUUUUUUCUUUUUUUGACUAUUUCUAGGCUACAUGGUUUAUCUGCAAAUAUUUUCAAAUUGUUGCAAAUCUACAAAAAAAAAAAAAAAAAACUUACCAAUAUAUUUAUGUAUAUAAGUGAACCUGCACAGGUCAAAUUCUUGUUGUUCAAAGGUCAACGGAAUGUUGUUCUUCAUUCCAUUUCCAUGUAUUCAUCAAGAAUCAAGAAAAUGUUGCCAAUUCUCCUUCUACAUGAAUGAAGUUUUCUAGAUUUGUCGCCCAGGGGAGGUUGUGAGAGGAUUAAGUCAUCAACCAGGCAUGGCAGGACACCCGCUCUUUCCCUCUGAGGAAGGAGAGGACCAGCCUUGGACCUUGAAACAGCAAUCUUGUAGCAGCAAGAAGACAUCAUCUCUCACAUUAAAUUAAGGAUGCUAAUGUGAAAUGGACUGGUCUUGUUUUCUCGGUAUUUAAUUUUUAAGUCUCUUUGGUUUUAUAAAAGAGCAAAAAGAAUAAGGACUUUUUUUUACUAAGAUGUCUGUUUGUAAAUAUUUAAUUUGCAUUUGAAUAAAAAUAACUUAGGUAACGCUAGAGAUCCUUGA